AUUGAACGCUGGCGGCAGGCCUAACACAUGCAAGUCGAGCGAGCGGCGGACGGGUGUGUAAUGUCUGGGAACCUGCCUGAUGGAGGGGGCUAACUACUGGAAACGGUACUUAAAACCGCAUACCAUCAGAUGUGCCCAGAUGGGAUUGGCGAGUAGGUGGGGUAAUGGCUCACCUAGGCGACGAUCCCUAGCUGGUCUGAGAGGAUAACCGCCCACACGGGAACGGAGACACGGUCCAGAUUCCUACGGGAGGCAGCAGGGGGGAAUAUCGCACAAUGAGCGCAGGCCUGAGGCAGACAUGCGGCGUGUGUGAAGAGGGCCUUCGGGUGGUAAAGCACGUUCAGCGGGGAGGCGUUACUCGCAGAGAAAGCACCGGCUAACUCCGUGCCAGCAGCCGCGGUAAUUC
rnacentral:rRNA from 1 species